AACAUUUAUGUGUUUAUUCUGUUGUUCUAAAUUAUAUUUCAAUUUGCGCCAUCUAGUGGUGAGAGCAUGUGGAACAAAGUUCAAUUAAAGUUCCACACGGACACAUUUAACUACGCACACAGCUAUCAGUGCAUUGCUGCAGCCACGUGAAGAUCUCCGAAAGUUAAAGGAAAGCUGAAGCCAAAUGAGUAAUUAGCCCCUCGUGGAUGUCAGCCCACGAGGUUUGUGUGCUUUUAUUUGUAUAAUUUAAGAUUCAUAUUUUGUAAGCUGUAGAAUUAUUUUUGAUGCAUAUUUGUGUUUUUAUUUUGCUGCCAGUUCUCACGGGUUGUGAAGACCAAUAAACCCUGUUUUAAACA